GGAAGGAUCAUUCUUGUAUACCAGGUCGAGCGUAAGCUUGGCCUAACCAUGUGUGAAUCAGUGUUCUUUUUCCCGGCGGGAUCUUUGGUGUUGACUCUGGGCUUUGCCUGGAAGAGCCUUAGUGACGGCUGGGGUAUUGCCUCGCAAGAGGUCAACAUGUUAAUAGCAGGGAACUCAAAAAGUAACAAUUACAACUUUAAACGAUGGAUCUCUUGGCUCUCACACCGAUGAAGAACGCAGCAAACUGCGAUAAGCAAUGCGAAACGCAGUUGUUCGUGAGUCAUCCGGUAUUCGAACGCACAUGGCAGGUCUUCGGACCUACGCCUGGUUGAGGGUCUUUAUUACUCCAUUUCUAUGGGAUGUGAGUGGGCAUUUGGCUCACUUCAAAGGCAGGGUAACUUGUACCGUAACCGUUUGGUGGAUAACCUAGCGGGCAUUGGUAACAAGCGAUGGCUGGCAAGCAGUUAUCAUUUCAAAUUUGACCUCAACUCAGACGAGACUACCCGCUGAACUUAAGCAUAUCAAUAAGCGGAGGAAAAGACACCAACAGGGAUUCCCUUAGUAACGGCGAGUGAAAAGGGAGAAGCGCAACAUGGGAAUCGUGCCGCAAGGUACGAGUUGUAGGGUUGCAUUGUUUGCCUGGGAUGAAGCGGCGUGUAAGUCUCUUGGAAUAGAGCAGCAUAGAGGGUGAUACUCCCGUAACGCGCUGCAGAGUCUGUGAUGGCAAGCAAUAGGCGAGUCGAGUUGUUUGGGAAUGCAGCUCCAAAGGGUGGUAAACUCCAUCCAACGCUAAAUACUGGUGAGAGACCGAUAGCAAACAAGUACCGUGAGGGAAAGAUGAAAAGCACCUUGAAAAGGGCGUUAAAAGAAUGUGAAAUCGUUUAGGGGGAAGCGUUGCCAGCGAGUGCAGUAUAACGCAGAUCAUGCACUCUAUCAGGGUGCUGCACUGUGUGUUGUACUGGUCCACAUCAGUUUUGGCUGCUGGAUAAUCUCUCUGGAAGGUAGCGUCCUCGGACGUGUUAAGCCAGGGAGGGCGCAGUGGCUGGGACUGAGGACCGCCGUGCACGUUUGCGGGGCCUCUUAUCUCUGUCUUUCUGCCAGCAGGUGCAUUUUUAAUGAGCUUGUUGAGUAGAUUGUCACCGGUGGGAGUGAUCGCCUAUGCACGAAGGAUGUGGGCGAAAUCGCUUGUAGCGACCCGUCUUGAAACACGGACCAAGGAGUCUAAUUGAUGUGCGAGUGGUAAGGUGGCAAACCUUAGCGCGUAAUGAAAGUAACAGGUACGACCUUCGGGCAGUAUCGGCCGGACGAGAUCUACGGUGAUCGUCCUGAGCAAGAGCAUAUCGACUAGGACCCGAAAGAUGGUGAUCUAUGGCUGCGUAGGAUGAAGCCGGGGGAAACUCCGGUGGAAGUCCGCAGCGGUUCUGACGUAAACAUUUGUGCGUCAAAGAGUUACUACAUGUAGCUAGUCCACUAGUGGGCAACACUGUCAAAUUGCGGGAAACUCCUAAUGCUUUGACUACCAAGUCUACCUUGAAAGAGGUAGAUGGCCAAGCUAACUACUUGGGUAUGGUCACAAUGUCAAAGAUGUACAAUGGAUAAUCCGCAGCCAAGCCCUACGGUAUUUACUAUGGGUGCAGUUCAGAGACUAAAUGUCAGUGGGCCAUCAAGGCUUAAGAUAUAGUCCAUCUACCUCGCAAGAGGAACAAAGAGUAGGAUACCUAUGGUGGAGAGACUCUUUGCAGUAGAUAUACUGAGAUCAAUGGCAAAUCGAUCGUCGAACGUGGCUAUAGGGGCGAAAGACUAAUCGAACCAUCUAGUAUUCAGUUGCUAGAAACAGUAGGCCCAUGCCUGCUAGUCAAGUAGUCAUCUAUUGAUGGGAGACUACUGGCGAGGUAACCUGGUACGAGGAAGGUCUACGGACUAAUCUCGUGGUGAGCCUAGGCCACCGUAACGCACGCAAAGGUACCGGUCUUAUUAGACUCAAGGAACGUGCUAGUCCCAUACGAAAGUAUGCCUACUGCAAUAGGACCCAUCAUCCAAAGGCAGUGGAAACAAUAUUGACUAUAUUGUUGGUAGAAUGAGCUGGUUCCUGC
rnacentral:misc_RNA from 1 species